rnacentral:tRNA from 1 species
GGAGGCGUGGCCGAGUGGUCGAUGGCGGCGGUCUUGAAAACCGUUAGGCGCAAGCCUCGGGGGUUCGAAUCCCUCCGCCUCCGCCA